AGUGUUCCGCAAUCUGCGAACGCGCCUCCGUUACCAAUCAGCCCCCACCAACGAGCCGCAGCCACUGGUACAGCGAAACAGGAGAAUAUGCAUCAGAACAACAGCGAGACUACCGAUACCAAUAAAUAGAGGGAGAGAAAGAAGGGAUAAAAAUAAAAUCAGAUUGAUACCGUGUGCAUUAAGAUCUAAUAGUGUAAUAUCUAAGGACUAUUGCUAGAAAUUUAUCUAAAACUAAAUCUAAUUAUAAAAAUUGAAUUGGAUUAAAUUAAACCUAAAAGUAGUACGGAUACGGAGUGGUGAAUGGAUGCUAAGUGAUAGAAGUGAACCAUAAUUGGCGAACACAUAAAACAUCAAUUCCGCAAAUUUGUACUUGCUAGAAACAGGAUCUACAAAGAUACCGUACGCCUGCACAUUCCGGACGGAACGGAAUUGCUAUAAGCCACUAAACGUAAGUAACUCAAAGUACCCUUUUGUCGACCGAAAUUCAAUACAUUUAAGAACAAAACAUAUGUAUUCUGCAGGGAAAAUUUAACAUAUAAAGCAUUAAACAUAUUUCUGUGCGUU